rnacentral:tRNA from 1 species
GGGUUGUAGCUCAAAUGGAAGAGCAUCUGCCUUGCAAGCAGAAGGCUGCAGGUUCGAAACCUGUCGGCUCC